GCAGCCCCUCGUCCCCUCCCUGCUUCUCCGCCGCCGCCGCCGCCACCACCCUCCAAAUCCAUCGCACGACUGCAAGAGAGCUAGCCCGCCCGCGCUGGCGACGCGCCUCCGCCUCCUGGUCUUCUCUAUCUCGGCACUGGAUCCGUCCCCGCCCCCGUUUGGCGUCCCGGUCGAUGGCGCUGAGGAGGAGGCGGAGCGGUUCUGUCGUUGGGUUGAGCGGCGGCUGGAACGGGUUGGCCACAGAGAUGGCCGUCCGCAGUGUUCUUCUCAGGCAGAGAAGAGGAGGGGAGCGUGAGAUGAAGAGGGGACGGAAUGGGAGACAACGAGCCCAUGGAGAAGCGCCACCGGGAGCAGAUCUGGCCGUCAGCGGUAAGGCGGCGCCCCACUCUAGCCAUCUUCCUUCUCCCGCUAUGCAUAUGUUGUUUGUUUGCCAAUUUAUUGGGCAGAUUUUCAACUGGAAGACACAAAGGAGGUGGCGUAAUGGGCAUGGAGAUCCUGGUGUUGGAAGAAGAAGAUGAGCAGCCAAAUACUUCUAGGAAUGAUGAAACUCGUGUCCGCCGAGAGGCCACCUCAAGGUGGUGGUGGAGCUGCUCCGGCACCUUGACGCCCAGGGCGUCGGUGAAGAACAGGUCGGGGUACAAUGCCCUGUACGUCGUGGCCAGAGAAGGACAUCACAUUAUGUAGGACACGCGUGAGAGGUGUGCCCGUGUUUCAUUGUUGCUGAUGUAAUAGCUUUCGAGUCACAUGCCUGUCACCGUCGGAAAGUGCAAGAAGAAAUCCCCGAGGAAGAUCCACAAAGCCGAGAGGGAGAAGGAUGAGCGUGACCUAUUCAAUUAUCUUUUCGGUGAACUUGGCGAAAUAGGUGUGCAUCAAUCACUAACCUCGACACCUCGUAGAUUAUGUCACAGCCAGCAUGCUUUAGUUACCCUGUCUCUGAAUUUCGGGGGUCGUUUCCUUUUCCAUGUGGUUAUUUGGAAUGUUAGAGCUGAGCGUGGGUAUGUGUGAAUCUGCAUCAUGUUGUUACCAUCCAUUUUCAUGUGAUGCUUUCGCGGUGAAUACUGGGGUUCAGUAUGUGUCAUGGAUUUCCUUAGUUAGAUCCCAGUGAACGUUUAUGCUGAUGAAAAUGUAUGAACCCAUUUAAAAUUAGUAACAGCAGAAGACCUCUCGGCGUUUGUUGACGAUUCAUUACAUUAUGCAUACUUGUCAACAUAUAAAAUUGUGUAUUGACUGCAUCCAUUAACAAUUUUUUUUCUAAUCCAUCUGUCUAACCCAUGCAUCUUGCAUCAAGCUGUAUGUGUGUUGGAGUCUAUUGCUUCUUAUAUUGCACCGUGUGUGUCGCAGGGUCGAGGAAAAGGUCGGCGCCGACGUCGACAUGCACACAUUGACGCAAUCUUGAGCCGACCGACACUCGCCCAUCCCCGGUCGUUGUUCGUCGAUGGCAGGCCGAGCUCCGCCUCCACGCCCUGCGGAGUCGGCCCGAUGUGUUGGGAUUGGACCUUGAUGGUGUCUGCCCCCGACAGGACCUCAACAGCGACCUGCAGUUUUUCGUAGGGUGAAAAUUAAUUAACAGUUGGUAUGGAGAAAGGGAGAAGAGAGAGGCCACAGACCGGUGUGCUGAUGAGCCCCCAUCAUAGGGUACUACAAACAUUUUGGUUAGCUGCAAGGAUGAAGACAAUGGGGAAAGAAUGCAAAGAUAUUCAGUGAAGCCGCAGAUUUAGCUUUUGGAGAACUAUGGACAAGCCAUGUACAAGUACAUAGGCUGCUGCGUAUACAGAAAGAACGAAUGAAACGGGCUUGCAGAUUCAGUUUUCAUUUGCACGUCAUCAAAGCUAAUGCUUCCUGUUAAAACAACGCCCCCUGCAACAAGUCCAUUUCGAGGCCGGCCACAGGCACGACAUCGAGGGCAUCCAUAACAAUCGCGGAUCCUUCGACAUCUGGGUGGACCGCUGCUCCGUCGUCGACUACGACGACGGGCUCAUCGACAUCGCUUGUCUCCAGGUCGUUCCCUUCUCUGUUAUUUGUCCCUGCUACUAAGUCACUCACAUGCUUGGUUUCUCUCAACAAGUAUCGUUGAUUACAUGGGAUCACUGUGUUGUGCUGAUGAAAAUAAACGUGUGUGUAUGUGAUUGCAUUUUUUGCAUGAUUGAUAUAUGAUGAUUGCUCACAAUGUACAGUGGGUAUGCAUGUAUUCUCCACAAACUUAGAAUUGGCACUCUCUUUAGACCAGCUCUUCAUUCUUGUAUUUAAGUUGGUACUAAAUCUGGAAGAGGUUUAUUGUAGGUUGAUGUCUUUUACAUCUCAUAUUUUUCAUCCAUGUAAUACGAACAAAUGCACAAGAUAUAGACGAGAAUCUGUUCAUGAGCUUCACCAGCCAUUUUACAGGAUAUACAAUGUUGUUUUCUUAUGCAUUUUAAUUACAUUUACAACUGUAAGUUUGUGAUGAUACAAACGAAAGUUGCAUACAGAUUUUCUUAUUUAUACUAUUGUUCUAUCCAUGCUUAACAUAUAAAAAAUUCUUGUUUUGUUCAUACUACUUAACAGUCAGCAGUUUAGUCAUCUUACAAAUACCAAUUAUGUUCCCUUUCUCACUGUAUACCAGAUAGAUCAACACCUAGUCUGUUGUUAUUUUUCUCCUGCCACUUUUGAAAUUUCUACUUUAUCUUUUUUAGAUUACCAUUUUUUCAUUCGUUUGUUCUUUGUUCAUACACUAGGCUGUACAUACUCAAAUCAUCGACUGGACACCAGAAAUAUUGACUUCUCUUUAUUCUUUCAUCAGCCAUUUUACUUGAGCAUUAAUAAAUUUGGGUCCUCAAGACCUGUAGUCAAUAAAUGUACUUUGCUAUCACCAUUAAUAUCCAUAGAACAUGCUCUUAUCUUUCAUAUCACAGAACAACUUAUGUCCAUGUAAAUAACUUGCUUUCUUCUACCAGUAUUUUCAGUUUAACUAUACUGAAGAGAACCUGCUGGACUAAAUUGAUCCAAACAAUGCUACACUCAUUGUCAGACUUGCAGACGACCAUCUGCUCGCCAAAUGUCGAAUCAUGCUAGGAACUGACAAGAGGGCCACUAUAACCACGAACUGGUCUGAGUUUUUUCACCGCGCCACCAUUCGCAAAUGAGACAUCUAUGCAUUUCAUUUCAGGAUCACUUCAAAGCUCUGCCUUGUUGUCACCGUGCACCACCUCUAGAUGCACUAUCGAAGACGCUGCAGCCCUUGUGUCAAUAUAAUCUAGUCCCUCCGUCUCAUAAUGUAAGACAUUUUCUGACACGAACAUUCGUGUCAGAAAACAGUUCGUGUCAGAAAACGUCUUACAUUAUGGAACAGAGGGAGUAAUAUAAUGUACCACUAAGUACUCCUAAUUAUGCUAUAUCCUGUGAUAACUUAUGGUUUGCUUUUGGGCCCUCUUAUCACAUGCUUUUCAAGACGCUAAACCUAUGUUGUUGCUUAU